UGCACAGAUAAAACACACGGAGGCUCUUUCAUCUGCCCUUCAUUCUGUGAGUUGAAAGAGCGAGAAUGUCGAAUUCAACGCUGGACAGUGCUAUUUAUUCGUUUUUUAAAGCGUUCAUUUUUAAAUGCAGCAGACUGCUUUAGCGAGAGAGUACUUUAGCCUUUGUGAGUUCCGGCAUUAUAUACGCUGCCCUAAAUGAUUCUUCUUCUGGAUGUCGAUAAAUUGCACCCUUCUUGCAGUUAACGAGUCAAGAAGCAAGACCUCAACAUUCUGAGGGGAAGAGACACAAAAUAAAAUGGCUGGGGCCACCACAUUCAACCUUUCAAAAUUGCAUGUGGAAAUGCCAAUCUUGCCAGAGAAGAAAGUAAAAUAACCUGUGGUGGAUCAACACAUUUAUUGACAACCCUGCUGGAGAACCUUCACCAGAAGGAAUGCAGUGGCUCACCACUAUGUCUACAAAGAUAAACAUUAACUAGGAAUAGAUGCUGGCCUGCUGAGCACUGGGAGUCACAGGGAGCAUCGAUCUAGUCUGAAGAAGGGUCUCAACCCGAAACAUCAACCAUUCCUUCUCUCCAGAGAUGCUGCCUGUCCCGCUGAGUUACUCCAGCUGUUUGUGUCUAUCAUCAAUCUAGUAGUUCAGGAGUGGAACAGAAAAUGGCGUAACUGCGAAGAUAGUGGAUUCACGAGGAUUCAGCAAUGCAAGCUCUGGGUCUGAUUCAUCAGUCUGGAAAAUGAAAAGCUAAUUGUAAGCUAUAAUUAUGUUUCCAUGAUAGUUAUGGCAAGUCAAUGAUCCUUCAUCAUGAAUGCAAAAGAUGAUUUGUCUCCACUGUGUCCUAUGGCUUUUUAUUCCUAUGUGAUUUGACAUGUGCUUCAUAUAGGGAUGAAAGCCAUGAAAUACAUUGUGAGCUAUCACCAGCGGACGAUGUAGCAACAUCUAGCAUGAAUGUUGCUUAAAGACUUGAUGAUAUUCUGCCAGUAAAGAAGCAUGCUACUAACAUGGACUGUGGAGUUGUGGAUGUUGACAACCCAGCAGCUGGUGCCUGACAUCCAAGUACCGCGAUGAUGAAAAAGCAGUUGCUGUCAUUUCAACCUCACAUUGUUACGCGCUUCCAGAAAUCUUGGCAAUAUUAUUUUUAGCCACCGUGUACAGCUGAGUGUACUGAGGCAUCAAAGGCAUUGAUCCUUCAACAAACCGUGGAGAUCUUUGAUUUGGACCGAGGAAAAAACGUCCUGUAAGGAUUCCUGCACGUAAUUACAUAAGAGUACAGCUCCUGGAAGGAUCUGAAUCCAUCUAAGCAUGAGAGGCGUCUGAGAUAAGUAACAUGGUAAAACUCUGGAGUUCAACUCCAUAUGAACCACUGUCGUCAGGAGGGUGAGAAGAAGGGAAGCAAAGGCAAAGGCAAAAGAAUAGAGGAGGCAAAGGAAAUGUAAAAUAAAGGAUGUGACUCAUUCCUCCAAAUCAAACAACAACAGCAACGCCAACUACCUGCCAACCAAUUUAUUGAUCUGGCUAUUUUAGACUGUUAUCAUCUUGCUACAGCUGCUCGAUGUUAGCACAAGAAAAAUGUCCUGCACAUCCUACAGCCAAGGAUAUAGAAAAUAGAAGACAAGGAACAAGCCCAUUGACGGACAAUGUCAGCGCUGACCACGAUGCUAAAUUAAACUAACCCGGUCUAUCUGUAUGUGAUCCAUGUACCUCCAAUCUCUGCAUGUUCAUGUGCUUCUUAAACACCACUAUUGUAUCUGCAUCGCAUCGUAUUUGACAGACGAAAUGUGGCCUGCAGGUUGACAUUGAGUUGUUCAUCUCCCCAGAUACCUUAUCGGUAUUUCCACUCUUUAGGGCACUUUGAAUUACAGGUUAUUUAAUUUAACUUGCAACAAAUUUGGACAAGCUACAGUGAGUACAUCUGAAACAGUUUCUACAGUUCUGUUCAGAGAUAACUUCCUGAAGCAAAUAUAAACUCUGCGGAACGAGUGGUAAGACUGAUCCUGAGGAGUGCGGAGAAACCAGGAAUACUCAUCUUUUCCUGUAGGAAAAUUCCCAAUAAUUCACCUGACUUUGAUAUAUAUGCAAGCUCUUUGUAUUUCAAACAUGGAAAAAAAUCAAGGACCCAGCAUUUAUUGUCAAUGUAUAGAGCAGCCACUGUGGGUUAGAUGAAAUUAGUUACUGUUAGCUACUUCCACAUAAUUCAAGUUCCUAAAUAUGUAUUUCUUUACUAACUAAGACCAGCACCUUAUUUACCACUUGGGUACCUACAACCCAAAGGCAUGAGCACUAAAUUUUUCAAUUUCAGGUAACACUCCGCAACCCCAUCCCAUUUACCCAGCUUCCUCGACCCCAGCACACAACAUUUUUUCCCACCCCCCCCCCCCCCCCCCUUUUUGUUCCUCCUCUCUUCCCUACGCCCCAUCUGGAAGCACACACAUUUACCCUUCCCCAUUCUGCACCCUCCUCCCCUUCCACCUCUAUUCCUUCCUCUGGCUUCACAUAUCGUGCCUCGUCUAUGCUUAUUGCCUUAUCUCAUACUAUAUGUCUUUUCAUCUCUGGUCUUCAUCCAAACAUCUGCCAAUCAACCACUCCCUGCCCCCCACACUGCUAUCCACCUAACACUUGCCAGGCUUUGUCCCACCCAUCUCUCUUCCAGCUUUCUUCUCCUCCCUAUCCUCUUCCCCCCCCCCGCUACAAUCAGUCUGAGGGCUUCACUGGGCAUGAGACAUCCUUGGAUCCGUCCCCUAUCCAUGUUCUCCAGAAAUGCUGCCCAACCCGCUGAGGUACACCAGCACCUCGUAGCUUUCUUUCCACUCCCCCUCCCUCUGACAUUCUUAGCCCUCCUUCAUCCACUCAUUUCCCAACCACUCCCUACUCCAGGUCCCCCAUUUUCCUUCCACCCCACAUUCCCUUCCACCCACUAUCCCUCCCUCUAGUGCUACAUUUCAUUCCUCUUUUUCCUUUCGCAUCCGAUUUCACCUUUGCAUCCUUUAGUCUUCCCUGCUUCACCUCCAGCUUGGUUCCUAUCCCCACCCAUCUCGCCCCCUCCUGGCACAUCCACGAAUCAACCUCUCCACACCUGAAUCACCCUAACACUUGCUAGUUCUAGCCCCACCCCACUCUUACCAAUAGUUAUCUUUUAUUUUUUCCAACAGUCUCAAGAAGGAUCCUGACCAUUUCCCUCCUAAUCUUUAUUGUGGAUGAUCAGCCAUUAUCACAUUGAAUGGCAGUGUUGGCUAG